UAUAAGCAGUUACUACGCCACCUGGUGGAUGACUGGGCUCGGUUGCCGAAGAAGGUCGUGCCAAGCAGCGAUAUGCUUCGGGGAGGCGCAUGGAACCUUUGAUCCGAAGAUUGCCGAAUGGGACUUCCCAGACCUAAGUCUAAUCCUUCACAGGAUGGGGAACGCCCCGAAUUGAAACAUCUUAGUAGGGGCAGGAAAAGAAAUCAAAUGAGAUGGGGUAAGUAAAGGCGAUCGAACACCCCUUUACGGGCAAACCGAAUCCCGUAGCGAGAGUUGCGGGAAAUGUGGAUGGCCCGGUUACGUCCUAACUCUCAUAUCCGAAGUUCGUGUGGAACGCCGGUGCCAGAGAGGGUGACAGCCCCGUAGGAGAAAGAGAGCAGGACGAUUUCCGGGACCCAAGAGUAACGUGCGUUGGAUAUCGCGCGUGAAGACGGGAGGUACUAACUUCCA
rnacentral:rRNA from 1 species